ensembl:lncRNA
CUAGGGGAGGGGAGGGGACUUAAGGUGGUCUAGGACUAGGGGAGGGGAGGGGGGGGAGGUGGUCUAGGACUAGGGGAGGGGGGGAGGGAGGGGGUUCAGGUGGUCUAGGCUAGCGUGUGAAGAGGUACCAAAGAGGCAGGAGGGCUCACACAGACCCGGUCGUCACCCAGAUCCAGAGCGUAGCCAUAGCAAUCAUGUUACCGGGGUAGCACCCUUCAUAGGAACCCGUCAUAGGAACCCUGCUGGUUCGUCUAGGAACCAGCGCCAAGGCAGCCUAUAAAUUAUUGAUUAUUGAUAACCCGGACACCAUCGUAAUGUUUUUUGUAACGUUUGAAAAAAAAGUGACCUGUUUAUGUUUUAUGUAUGUUCACCUGAUCCUCCUACCUGACCUGUAGACGUCCUUAUAUGGUUCUGUUUCCUGUUCCUCUUCCCGAUCAGUAACAAGAUGACUACUUCAUCCUCCUCCAAUUCCUCCCAGUCAGUCUGGACUGGUUCAUCAACCAGUGGACCAAUACAUGGAAGCUAAUCACAAACAUAGGCUAAUAGCUAUAGGCUAGUGGCUAGUAGCCUAGCAUCAUCGCUGGAAGCCUAGCUCUUGGUUAGCCCCGUACUCUUUCCUAGCAACUUAGCUUGUUGCUAGCCAUCAAGCGCACCGCUAGGUGACCUAGCAUAUCGCUAGCAGUCUAGCUACUGACUAGCCACCUAGCGCCUCGCUAGGACCCUAGCAUAUCGUUAGCAGGCUAGCUUGUUGCUAGCCACCUAGCGCCUCGCUAGGACCCUAGCAUAUCACUAGCAGUCUAGCGAUUUGCUAGCCAGCUAGCGCCUCGCUAGGAGCCUAGCAUAUCGUUAGCAGCCUAGCUUGUAGCCUAGGGCAUCACUUUGGAAAUGCAAUAAAAUAAUAGACUGGCUAACAUGUUCUCCGGGGAAUGGCUGGUCAGGUGGGGUUGAGUUUUUCUGUCUGCUUUGUACAUUUUUCUGUUAAGUAUUAUAUCAGCCGCGUCUGAUUUUCCUGUGCCUUUUCAUUCAAAAGUUGUAUUGACGACUUUUAGUGGGUUUAAAUUUGACAAAUAAAUCAAGAUCUAUAUAUGUAGCCGUGUGUGUAUGUGGUUUUCUGUUUGGACGGCCUG